AUGAACGCUGGCGGCGUGCUUAACACAUGCAAGUCGAACGGUGAAGCCCAGCUUGCUGGGUGGAUCAGUGGCGAACGGGUGAGUAACACGUGAGCAAUCUGCCCCUGACUCUGGGAUAAGCGCUGGAAACGGCGUCUAAUACCGGAUAUGAGCUACGGCCGCAUGGUCGGUAGUUGGAAAGAAUUUCGGUCAGGGAUGAGCUCGCGGCCUAUCAGCUUGUUGGUGAGGUAAUGGCUCACCAAGGCGUCGACGGGUAGCCGGCCUGAGAGGGUGACCGGCCACACUGGGACUGAGACACGGCCCAGACUCCUACGGGAGGCAGCAGUGGGGAAUAUUGCACAAUGGGCGCAAGCCUGAUGCAGCAACGCCGCGUGAGGGAUGACGGCCUUCGGGUUGUAAACCUCUUUUAGCGAGGAAGAAGCGAAAGUGACGGUACUCGCAGAAAAAGCGCCGGCUAACUACGUGCCAGCAGCCGCGGUAAUACGUAGGGCGCAAGCGUUAUCCGGAAUUAUUGGGCGUAAAGAGCUCGUAGGCGGUUUGUCGCGUCUGCUGUGAAAACUGGAGGCUCAACCUCCAGCCUGCAGUGGGUACGGGCAGACUAGAGUGCGGUAGGGGAGAUUGGAAUUCCUGGUGUAGCGGUGGAAUGCGCAGAUAUCAGGAGGAACACCGAUGGCGAAGGCAGAUCUCUGGGCCGUAACUGACGCUGAGGAGCGAAAGGAUGGGGAGCAAACAGGCUUAGAUACCCUGGUAGUCCAUCCCGUAAACGUUGGGAACUAGUUGUGGGGUCCAUUCCACGGAUUCCGUGACGCAGCUAACGCAUUAAG
rnacentral:rRNA from 1 species